UAUAAUCCUUACGUUUACGAAAGGACACUGUAUGUCCAGUCUAACAUAAUAAUGAGAAAGUGUAUUGCAACAACACAUGUUGUAACAGACAGAUUUUGCAACAAAAAAUAAGACAAAAAAAAAAUGAACUGAUUGUAUUUGUCCCCGAUGUGUUUUAUGUUUGUGUUAUGGUGCAUCCUCCUCGAUAGUGAGUGGGUUUGAUGAAGUCGAGUACAAAAACUUCGAAGGGGUGCCGCCUUCAACAUACAAAAUUAAUUCUCGUGAAGAGUUUAAGUAUUAUCUUAGACAGCCGAUGGAGGAUCGUAGAGCAAGGAUCAACGCGUUGGAUUGAUGGAAAGAUAAUGAAAGACAAUAUCUUGUACUUUUAAAAUUAGCUGGAGAUAUAUUGAAUGAUCUAAUGUCAACCAUUGCAUCAGAAAACACUUUUAGUUAUGGAUGACAGUAGCUUGGAGACAACCAACACUCAUUGAGAGGAAAUGUUAUGAAUUUUCUAGUUUGCCUUAGAGACUGGACUAAAACAGAAUGAAGAAAUCAAGGAAUAGAGAUGGAGCCGACGGAGGAAUAAAAUCUUAAAGAAACUAUAACUUCAAGGGAGAACUCAACACAAUCAAUUCCAAUACAUGACUUAAAACCUCAUUGAUUUUGACUGUCCUCAGGCAGUUCCCAUUAGUAUUAACAUGUAUGAGUUGAAAAAAAUGACGCAAAAUUUGUAGAAUUGUCAAUCUUAUAACUUAUAAGUUUUGAA